rnacentral:SRP_RNA from 1 species
GCUGUGCACAAUGGCACAUGCUCAUAGUCUCAGUUACUCGGGAGGCUGAGCAGGAGGAUCACCUGAGCUCAGGAAUUCCAGCUGUAGUGCACUAUGCCAAUCAGGUGUUCGUACUUUAAAUUCAGCAUCAAUAUGGUGGCCUCCACCAUGUGGCCCAAGGACGGGUGGACCAGCCCAGGUGGGAAAAGGGACAGGUAAAAAUUCCCAUGCUGAUCAGUAACGGAUCGCGCCUGUCAAUAGCCACUUGCGCUCCAGCCUGAGUGAUAGAGUGGGACCCCGUGUUUU